UACGUAGGGUGCGAGCGUUAAUCGGAAUUACUGGGCGUAAAGCGUGCGCAGGCGGUUUGUUAAGACAGAUGUGAAAUCCCCGGGCUUAACCUGGGAACUGCAUUUGUGACUGGCAAGCUAGAGUAUGGCAGAGGGGGGGUAGAAUUCCACGUGUAGCAGUGAAAUGCGUAGAGAUGUGGAGGAAUACCGAUGGCGAAGGCAGCCCCCUGGGCCAAUACUGACGCUCAUGCACGAAAGCGUGGGGAGCAAACAGG
rnacentral:rRNA from 1 species